rnacentral:lncRNA from 1 species
UGCCAUCAGCUUUCAAUAAAGAUCCUUCAUGACUUCGAAGAACAAAACCAGUAAUGGCCUAGUUGGCUUUCAUCAUACCAUCAAAAUUUAUCAUAAGCAUCCCAAGGAGAGGGGGCCUCCAAAAAGCCAAAGUAAGAGGAGAAAGAUACUAGUUAAAUAGCUUAGGAAGAUCCUAGUACAUUGAUUGGAUGCUCAAAUUAGAAGAAGAUGAUGGUAAGAGGGAGAUUUGGUCAGAAAAUAAAAAUAUGUACAUCAUCGAAGAAGAUCCAUUGAUUGAGAAAAUUUAACUUGAAAAGUUCUUUCAUUUCUCACCCGUCAUAUAAGCGAAGCCAUGUACCCUAACAAUACUUUUUCCUUCUUUGAAACAAAAGAGCUUGCUAAAGAGGUUAGUAAUACCAGCAAGAAAGAUGAUAAUAAGCAACAAAAAGUCUGAUUGAAAAGGGACCAAUAUAUGCUUAGCAAAAUCACAAUCAAUAAUAACAUGCUAGCAAUCUUCCACACUGCCUAGGCAUAAAACAUAUUCAACAGAGAGAGAGAGAGAGAGAGAGUAAAUAAUAUCCUGAUAGAGCAAGAGCUCCGUAAUAGGUAGGCACUACCACACUAAUGUCCAACAGAAGUACCUGACUCUCAUUGGAAGUAGAAGUUGCCACACCCAAGCAAAGUUAUAAUGAAAUAGCUGCAUAUAAGAGGGAGUUAUUAUAGCACCAACAUCUUUAGAUGACAUAGAAAGAGAUCUCGAAGGAGCCGAACCAAGCUGAUCAGACCAACGAGCAUAUGCUAGAGGCAAGGAAAGAAUAUAGGUCAUCAUAUUAGCAUUACAAAAUGAAGCCAAUGAAGGAAUAUUCUAAGGAUUAUUAGGUAACAUCAAAUUAGCUACAAUAUAUAGAGACAAAUCAUAAGCAACAUAGUGAAAGAAGGCCACCAACUUAAUAGUACAUUAGAUAACCAAGGAUCAUUCCAAAUAUUUACCAACAUUACCAAAUUAACCACAUAAAUUAAAACUGGAUUCGAUGACCAAGGAUAGAAAUUUUAUGCUAAAUGAAGGAACAUUUAGGAGGCGGCUGAUAAGAGAUCCAUAAGCGAUGGAAGCUAUAUUUAGAUGAGACCAAUUGAGCCUAAAAAGAAGAAGGUUGAAGAAUGAGGGUGGCAGCCAACUUCCCCAGUAACAUAGAUUGCCAUUAACAAGAGAAUGUAAGCCUAGGUCGCCAGCAAUCUUCAAAGUACAAAUCAUAUCUCAAGAUAUUAAAUGCAUACACUGUUGAGUAUAAUCAUAAUCCCACAAGAACGAGCAAAAUUUAUGCUCAACAAGAUCAAGAACGGAUAGGGGUAUAGGGAUAGCAAACAUCAUAUAUAGAGACAGAAAUAGACGUAAGAAUCGACUACAAGAGAGUGGGACACCUAGUGAAUGAUAAUGCUCUUCACUUUCAAGAUUGGAUUUUGGCCAAGAUCUUAUCAGUUAAAAAUUACAAAUCAGCAGAGCACGGUUUAAUAAGAGAAAUUGGCAGACCAAGAUAUUUUCAAACACCACAUUUGUGAGACAUACCAAGAGUAGAAGAGAUAAGUCAUCUAAUAUUACUCGAAACAGUGGAACUAAUGGUAAUGAAAGAUUUGGUGAAAUUUACUGACUAUUCCUAAUAAUAGCAAUAUACAUCUAAGAGGAGUUUAAGACAAAAUGUAUCACGAAUAACAGCUCGAGCAAUAAGGAGAUAAUCAUCAGCAA